GUUAUGAUAUGUUAAAGGGUCAAAUAACAACACAUUGAUAUACUUAAAAGACAUUUAAUAUUGCCCCUAAAAAUAUUUCGGAUCAUUACUAAAUUGUUUUUAGUAUUACAUGAGAUAUAAUAUAUACACUAUAAAGUGCUCAAAAUAUAUUCUAUUUGUUAGGUGCGAAUAGAUAAAAAUAUGGUUAAAAUAUUUAUUUUUGUUGUGCUUUUAUUUCUUACCCUGUUACUUGUUACAAAGAACGUUGAGGCAAUAUGGAAAUGUGAAGUUGACGAUGAUUGUCCUAGAAGUACCGAAGACAUGCUUCCUUAUAAGUGGAAGUGCAUUAACCACAAAUGUAGAUUUGUUCUCUUUUUUAUUGAAAACUAGUCCAAAGACCCGUGUAUUGACA